AAAGGGGGUACAAAGGACCUGUUUGGCAAGUGAUUCUGCUUGACAUUAGCAGCUCUAGGGAUAUAUUUAAAUAAAAUAGAUUCAAAAUCAGCCAAAAGGAUGGCUAUGUCCGAUAAAAUGCCAUGGAUUUCUGAAAUCUGCUGAUUCGAGUUGAUUGCUCUGAUCAGAGUUUGCGCAUCCGAUUGGACUAUCGAUUAUUGAUUCUUGCCUCUUUUGCUGUUAAGAUUGCUUCACGGAGAGCCAUAGCUUCAGCCAUAAGAGCAGAUCCAACGCAGAGCCAUAGCUUCAGCCAACCCAGUCGCUUGCGAGUCCUUGCUCCACGCUGCAUCUAUGAAGCAGAUAGUUGAUCCCGAUCUCGUCUGGAGGGCUUGGAUCCAAGGUGAAUUCAUUCGGGGUUUUCCUGAGAAGAUUGUUUCCUGCGCCAGCAUCCAUUCCCGAGCAUCACAUAUACUUUUUGAUGUUGUCUCCUCCGAGGUGAAGUUUCUCGCAUUGAAAAACUUUUGAUUCCUUGAGGUCUAUAUAUUCCAAAGAACCCAAGGGUGAAGUCGACCACUUUCCAGACCUACUGGCGGAAGUGUGGUCAAUCGAUUAAGUGCCAUGAGCCCCGAGUUUAGAUCUUCGACAUCUUCCGGAUUGAACGUCUGUGUUUAAGCAAUGAGCAUCAUUCACGAUUUGACGGACGGCUAGCUGAUCUCCCACUGGAAGGGCUCGAUGAAGGGCUUUCUAAACAAAAAGCUUUACCUUUGGAGCAGUGUGAAGAUUCCAGACUUGCUCAUUCCAGUUCACCACUGUGAGUUCACACUGGUCUCAGUCGUUCCAAAAUCCUCCGCAGCAACUAGGAUAAGGUGCUUAUAGCGUGGGAGGAUUACUUCUAUUUUUUCCAUGUCCCACUAAGAAGAGUUAUCUUUCAUUAGAUCCUUCACUAAACUCUUGGAAAGCUUCCGGCUGGGAACCAAAAGGUCUUAAUAACUCCUGAGACGAAACCCAAGGAUCAUCCCAAAUCUUGAUUGAUCCACCAUUUCCUACUGCCCAGCCUAAUUGUUUAAGAAGCAGGUCCCUUUCUGCUAUUAUGCUUUUCCAGCCGUGGGAGCACACAGAGGGAAUUGUACAGUCCAAGAUGGAGGUUUCUGAGAAGUAUUUUCCUUUGAGGAUUCUUCCCAAGAGACAGUUUGACUUUGUUAGCAGCCUCCAGCUAAUUUUUGCCAAGAGUGCAUCAUUGAAAUCAGAUAUGUCUCGAAAUCCCAAGCCUCCAAAUUGUUUUGGUUUUGCCAUCUUUUCCAUGAUAUCUAGCUAGUUUUCCUUUUGUUAGGUGAUGAGUCCCACCAAAAGCGUAUAAGGAUCGACUGGAUUUGUUUACAUAAGGAUACUGGCAAUUUAAAGCAUGUCAUUGCAUAUGAUGGCAUCAAGGUCACAACACUCUUCAACAUUACAAGUUUACCAGCUCUAGAAAGCAUCCUAGAUGCCCAACUUGCAGAUUUUUGGAUUAUGCGAUCAACUAUGGAUGCAAAUAAGUCAUUUUUCUUUCUUCUGAAGUGUUCUGGAAGACCCAUGUACUUUCCUACUCCUCCUUCAACUUCUAUAUGUAGCAGCUGCUUGAUUUUCUCAUUGACGGUGAUAUAUGAUUUUUGGUAGUUGAUCAGUUGUCUAGAUGCUGCUUCAUAGUCUGAUAGAAUUUGGUGUAGGGCCCUGCAGUUUUUCUCAUUUGCUGUGCAUAUAAACAUUUUAUCAUAUGCAAAGAGCAGAUGAUUAAUUCUCGGGCACCCUUUAGCCACUUUAACCCCGUGUAGUUUGCCUGAAUCCUGAGUUUUACAGCACAAGCCUUAGAGAAUCGCACUGCAUAGGAUAAAUAAGUAAGGGGAGAGGGGGUCUCCUUGUCUUAUUCCCCUGCUUGGUUUGAUAUAUCCUCUUGGGGCUCCAUUUAGCAGAAAGGAAAUGGAGCACUUCAUGUGUGACGAGGACAUUAUCAAAUACAGUGGAACCUCUAUAAAUUAAUACUCGAUAAAUUAAUAAUCACUAUAAAUUAAUAAAUUUUGUUGGUCU